UUGAACGCUGGCGGCAGGCCUAACCCAUGCCAGUCGAGCGGAUGAAGGGAGCUUGCUCCUGGAUUCAGCGGCGGACGGGUGAGUAAUGCCUAGGAAUCUGCCUGGUAGUGGGGGAUAACGUCCGGAAACGGGCGCUAAUACCGCAUACGUCCUGAGGGAGAAAGUGGGGGAUCUUCGGACCUCACGCUAUCAGAUGAGCCUAGGUCGGAUUAGCUAGUUGGUGGGGUAAAGGCCUACCAAGGCGACGAUCCGUAACUGGUCUGAGAGGAUGAUCAGUCACACUGGAACUGAGACACGGUCCAGACUCCUACGGGAGGCAGCAGUGGGGAAUAUUGGACAAUGGGCGAAAGCCUGAUCCAGCCAUGCCGCGUGUGUGAAGAAGGUCUUCGGAUUGUAAAGCACUUUAAGUUGGGAGGAAGGGCAGUAAGUUAAUACCUUGCUGUUUUGACGUUACCAACAGAAUAAGCACCGGCUAACUUCGUG
rnacentral:rRNA from 1 species